rnacentral:rRNA from 1 species
CCCUUAGAUGUUCUGGGCCGCACGCGCGCUACAAUGGCGCUUUCAGCGAGUUCCUAUGUUGAAUUUUCCUGGGUAUUCUUGGAAGCGGCGUCUUGACUUGGGAUAGAUCCUUGUAAUUGUUGGUUUUGAACGAGGAAUUCCUCGUAAUCGCGGUUGAUCAGCUCGCGUUGAAUACGUCCCUGCCCUUUGUACACACCGCCCGUCGCUCCUACCGAUGAAUCGUCCGGUGAAGUUCACAGAGUGGCGGUUCGUGGAGUUGCUCGCGAAGUGAAAUGGACCUCACGAUUUAGAGGAAGGAGAAGUCGUAACA